GAUGAACGCUAGCGGCAGGCCUAACACAUGCAAGUCGAGGGGUAACGGGGUGCUUGCACCGCCGACGACCGGCGCACGGGUGAGCAACGCGUAUAGAACCUACCCGUUACAGGGGGAUAGCCCAGAGAAAUUUGGAUCAAUACCCCGUGGCGCCGGGGACCGGCAUCGGUCCCCGGCUAAAGGACUCCGGUAACGGAUGGCUAUGCGUCCCAUUAGUUAGUUGGUAGGGUAACGGCCUACCAAGACGGCGAUGGGUAGGGGCCCUGAGAGGGGGAUCCCCCACACUGGUACUGAGACACGGACCAGACUCCUACGGGAGGCAGCAGUGAGGAAUAUUGGACAAUGGGCGGUAGCCUGAUCCAGCCAUGCCGCGUGCAGGAAGAAUGUCCUAUGGACUGUAAACUGCUUUUGUACGGGAAGAACCGGGGGCACGCGUGCCCCCUGACGGUACCGUAAGAACUAAGGAUCGGCUAACUCCGUG
rnacentral:rRNA from 1 species